rnacentral:rRNA from 1 species
AUUGAACGCUAGCGGGAUGCUUUACACAUGCAAGUCGAACGAGUGGCGGACGGGUGAGUAAUAUAUCGGAACGUGCCCAGUAGCGGGGGAUAACUACUCGAAAGAGUGGCUAAUACCGCCUACUAUUGGAGCGGCCGAUAUCGGAUUAGCUAGUUGGUGGGGUAAAGGCUCACAAAGGCAACGAUCCGUAGCGGGUUUGAGAGGACGACCGCCCACACUGGGCCGGGGACACGGCCAGGACCCCUACGGGAGGCAGCAGUGGGGAAUUUUGGAAAAUGGGGGAAACCCUGAUCCGGCCAGCCCGCGUGUAGGAGAAGGCCUUCGGGUUUUAAAGUACUUUUGGCAGAGAAGCGGUAUCGGCAGAAUAAGCACCGGCUAACUACGUGCCAGCAGCCGCGGUAAUAC